rnacentral:rRNA from 1 species
GGAUGGAACGCUGGCGGCGUGCUUAACACAUGCAAGUCGAACGAUGAAGCCCAGCUUGCUGGGUGGAUUAGUGGCGAACGGGUGAGUAACACGUGAGCAACCUGCCCCUGACUCUGGGAUAAGCGCUGGAAACGGCGUCUAAUACUGGAUAUGUCCCGUCACCGCAUGGUGUGCGGGUGGAAAGAUUUUUCGGUUGGGGAUGGGCUCGCGGCCUAUCAGCUUGUUGGUGAGGUAAUAGCUCACCAAGGCGUCGACGGGUAGCCGGCCUGAGAGGGUGACCGGCCACACUGGGACUGAGACACGGCCCAGACUCCUACGGGAGGCAGCAGUGGGGAAUAUUGCACAAUGGGCGGAAGCCUGAUGCAGCAACGCCGCGUGAGGGAUGACGGCCUUCGGGUUGUAAACCUCUUUUAGCAGGGAAGAAGCGAGAGUGACGGUACCUGCAGAAAAAGCACCGGCUAACUACGUGCCAGCAGCCGCGGUAAUACGUAGGGUGCAAGCGUUAUCCGGAAUUAUUGAGCGUAAAGAGCUCGUAGGCGGUCUGUCGCGUCUGCUGUGAAAUCCCGAGGCUCAACCUCGGGCUUGCAGUGGGUACGGGCAGACUAGAGUGCGGUAGGGGAGAUUGGAAUUCCUGGUGUAGCGGUGGAAUGCGCAGAUAUCAGGAGGAACACCGAUGGCGAAGGCAGAUCUCUGGGCCGUAACUGACGCUGAGGAGCGAAAGGGUGGGGAGCAAACAGGCUUAGAUACCCUGGUAGUCCACCCCGUAAACGUUGGGAACUAGUUGUGGGGUCCUUUCCACGG